UGCAGUCGAGCGAAUCUGAGGGAGCUUGCUCCCAAAGAUGAGCGGCGGACGGGUGAGUAACACGUGGGUAACCUGCCUGUAAGACUGGGAUAACUUCGGGAAACCGGAGCUAAUACCGGAUAAAUCUUUCUCUCACAUGAGGGAAAGCUGAAAGACGGUUUCGGCUGUCACUUACAGAUGGACCCGCGGCGCAUUAGCUAGUUGGUGAGGUAACGGCUCACCAAGGCAACGAUGCGUAGCCGACCUGAGAGGGUGAUCGGCCACAUUGGGACUGAGACACGGCCCAAACUCCUACGGGAGGCAGCAGUAGGGAAUCUUCCGCAAUGGACGAAAGUCUGACGGAGCAACGCCGCGUGAGUGAUGAAGGUUUUCGGAUCGUAAAACUCUGUUGUUAGGGAAGAACAAGUACCGGAGUAACUGCCGGUACCUUGACGGUACCUAACCAGAAAGCCACGGCUAACUACGUGCCAGCAGCCGCGGUAAUACGUAGGUGGCAAGCGUUGUCCGGAAUUAUUGGGCGUAAAGCGCGCGCAGGCGGUCCUUUAAGUCUGAUGUGAAAUCUCGCGGCUCAACCGCGAGCGGCCAUUGGAAACUGGGGGACUUGAGUGCAGAAGAGGAAAGCGGAAUUCCACGUGUAGCGGUGAAAUGCGUAGAGAUGUGGAGGAACACCAGUGGCGAAGGCGGCUUUCUGGUCUGCAACUGACGCUGAGGCGCGA
rnacentral:rRNA from 1 species